rnacentral:rRNA from 1 species
CAGUCGCCGCGGUAAUACAGAGGGUGCGAGCGUUAAUCGGAUUUACUGGGCGUAAAGCGUGCGUAGGCGGCUAAUUGAGUCGGAUGUGAAAUCCCCGAGCUUAACUUGGGAAUUGCAUUCGAUACUGGUUAGCUAGAGUGUGGGAGAGGAUGGUAGAAUUCCAGGUGUAGCGGUGAAAUGCGUAGAGAUCUGGAGGAAUACCGAUGGCGAAGGCAGCCAUCUGGCCUAAUACUGACGCUGAGGUACGAAAGCAUGGGGAGCAAACAGGAUUAGAUACCCCUGUAGUCCCUGUCCUUAUACA